ensembl:lncRNA
AAGAUACUUACCCUGCUGACCUCUCUCUCCUUCUCCUCCACAGAACCAGGGGAGAAAAUAAGACAGAAAAGCUCACAGGUUGAAAUAGACACAAUUUAAUAAAAACAGCAAAAGCUUUGCAUAGAAGCAAAACAAAAAGAGGAAUUCGUUCACUACCUCUCAUCAUCAGGCAGAUGUCUAAUCACAUCCUGAGAAGCAAGGCUGAAUAAGCCCAGUUCCUUCAGUUCCUCAGUUCCCUCAUAGGAGAGGUGUUCCAGACUUUUGAUCAUCUUCAUGGUCCUCCCCUGGACCCUCUUCAAAAGCUCCACAUCUUUCCUAUGUUGGGGGCCCCAGACUUGGAUGCAGUACUCCAGAUGGAGCCUCAUGAGGACAGAGCAGAAUGGGACAAUCACCUGCCUCACCCAGCUGGCCACCCCUCUUUUAAUGGAACCCAGGAUACCACUGGCCUUCCAAGCUGCAAGUACACACUGCUGGCUCAUGUUAAGUCAACCAGGACCCUUAAGUCCUUCUCAGCAGGAUGCCUCUCAAGGAGUUCUUCUCCCAGUUUGUAUACAUAUCUGAGAUUACCUUGACCCAAGCACAAGAGCUUACACUUUGCUUUGUUUAAUCUCACUAGGUUCACAAGGGCCCACCUUUUGUGUUUCCCAAGGUCCCUCUGCAUGGCAUCCCUUCCUUCUGUUUUAUCAACCGCACCACUCAGCUUGGUGUCAUCAGCAAACUUACUGAGGGUGCACUCAAUCCCGUCAUCCAUGUCAUUGAUAAAGAUGUUAAAGAGCACCGGUCCCAAGAUAGUCCCCUGGGGGGACACCACUCGUUACCGGCCUGCACCUGGACACAGAACCAUUGGCCGCAACCCACUGACUGCAACCUUUCAACCAAUUCCAUACCCACAGGAAUAGUCCACCCUUCAAGUCCAUAUCUCUCCAAUUUAGAGAGGAGAAUUUGGUGGGAGAUCAUGUCAAAGGCCUUGCAGAGGUCCAGCUAAAUUACAUCAGUUGACUUCCCUUUGUCCACUGAUGCCAUCACUCCAUCAUAAUAUGCCACCAGGUUGGUCAGGCACAAACUUUCCUUGGUGAAGCCAUGCUGGCUGUCUCAGAUCACCCACUCAUCCCUCAUGUGCCUUAACAUAUCUUCCAGGAGGAACUGUUCCAGGAUCUUCCCAGGCAAGGAGAUGAGGCUCACUGGCCUGUAGUUGCCCAGGUCCUCCUUUCUCCCUUUCUUGUAAAAAGCUUUUUUAAUUAAUUGUUGAGAUAAAAGUAAUUCAUUCUAUGUUUAGAACCAAGGUCCCUAGUAUCUUUAUCUUACCGUUGUUUAAAGGAAACCUGGCACACAAAGGAAGGAGUUAACAUGAUUAGGGGAAUUAUGAAUAGUUCAGUUGUUAUUACAGCCAACAGGCAACCCAUAAAUGUAUAUCAGGUGUUGAGCUCAGCAGGGGUUAGUCACAAAACUAGGACACUUAAUGAGUCAUAAAGUGCCAGGGAUAAUGAGAGACAGCAUAAAACAAGCCAUUUCUGCCUCUCCUGGGCUUGUCCAGAGAUGGUGACAAGAAGCCCUCUGCUAUUUCAGCUGCUCCUGCUGAAAUAACAUUUUUGACUUACACUGAAUUAUAGCCUUGGCUGAGCUGCCCAAGCUGUGGAGCUGGUGCUGCCUUGUGAAGCUCUAGUGGAAGAAAGAGAAUCUGGCAGUGGUCGUCUCUUCUCCACUUGCUUGCAGGACAUUGAAUGUAUCAUCUCAUACUAUAAUUCAUUUUCAUAGUUCUCUCUCUGCUUCCAGCUCCUCCUCUUAGUGGAGAUUAAAGCACAUAGCAUUACAGAUAAAUGAGAGUGGGCAAGAAAGAAAUAUUAGAAUGAAGUAUCCUGAUAAUUAAAAAGCUGAAUGUUUAAAGAUAGGCCCUAUUACCAGCUGAGUAUAAGUCUGUGUAAGAAGUACUUAACCAGCCAAGGGGAUGAUGUUACUUCUUGACUUCAGUGGCCUGAGUUCCUGGCUUGAUCUCACACCUUCCUCACUACUCUGGACUUGCCUGGAAAUCACUGUACUGUAGUUGAUGAUGGUUAUUGGCACUGGACCUGCCUUGCUUACCUUGUUUGGGUGCUGUGGGGCUACGCCACGGUCAUGGAGGUCCCUGCACUGCCUGCCUUGCUGUUGCCCCAGCUCACUGUCCCCUGUGGAGCAGCCCAUUCUUACUGCCUCCUGACUGUACUGUCACUUGGGAAGUAGGGUUCAGUCUAAUAACUGUAGGGACUGUGUGUGGCAUCAGUGGGUGGAGUCAAAGGGAUGCCAACAAAAACUGAAAAAGUGGUUCCCAGGAAGAUUCAGAGGAGAGGAAGGUCAAGUGUUGCAGAAAAUGUCUCACACAGUGUGAAGUGAAGAAUCUUUUCUGUCCUGCUGCUGCUGACACAUAUCACUGACAUUUUUUUCCCAUUUCUCCACAG